rnacentral:rRNA from 1 species
UACGGGGGGGGCGAAGCGUUGUUCGGAAUUACUGGGCGUAAAGGGCUCGUAGGCGGCCAACUAAGUCGGACGUGAAAUCCCCGGGCUCAACCCGGGAACUGCGUCCGAUUACUGGAAGGCUUGAAUCCGGGAGAGGGAUAGCGGAAUUCCAGGUGUAACGGUGAAAUGCGGUAGAUAUCUGGAGGAACACCGGUGGCGGAAAGGCGGCAUCCUGGACCGGUAUUGACGCUGAGGCGCGAAAGCCAGGGGAGCAAACGGGG